UACGUAGGGUCCGAGCGUUGUCCGGAAUUACUGGGCGUAAAGAGCUCGUAGGUGGUUUGUCGCGUUGUUCGUGAAAACUCACAACUCAAUUGUGGGCGUGCGGGCGAUACGGGCAGACUAGAGUACUGCAGGGGAGACUGGAAUUCCUGGUGUAGCGGUGAAAUGCGCAGAUAUCAGGAAGAACACCAAUGGCGAAGGCAGCUCUCUGGGACGGUACUGACGCUGAGACGCGAAAGCGUGGGGAGCGAACAGG
rnacentral:rRNA from 1 species